rnacentral:lncRNA from 1 species
AUAGAUGUGGGUCAGUGGUAUUAUUUGAGGGAACUUUAGUUAGUGUGUGGAUUAGUUUGUCUAUUUCUUCCCAAAGCAGUGGCUAUGGCAAACAUUGGAGCCAUUUUGUCAAACACAAAAUAAAGUACAUGCUGCUUUAGGGAUCACUAAGGACCCAAAAGACCAUUGUUGCUUAAUUAGGUAAUACACAUAUAACACCCACUUUCAUUUCUCCUCUUUGUCCAUUUUUUCUAUUAAUAUAUUCACUACAAGAUUAGAUAUGUUCAAUAAUUACCCAAUAACAUAUUACAUGAUCAAUUUUAAAUGAUUAAUUUAACCUAAUCCGAUUUAGACUCAUUUAUAUAUUAUAAAUUUGUAUUAUUUUUAAUUAAUUUUAAAUUUUAAAAUUAAAUGUAUACAUUUGAUGAAUUUGAUGAAUUGAAUGAGGGGAGUGCGAAGCACCCUCGGC